rnacentral:rRNA from 1 species
CCUACGGGUAGCAGUGAGGAAUAUUGGUCAAUGGUCGAGAGCCUGAACCAGCCAAGUCGCGUGAGGGAUUACUGCCCUAUGGGUUUUAAACCUCUUUUGUCGGGGAGCAAAAGCCGGUCGUGUCCCGCUGUGAGAGUACCCGAAGUAACAGCAUCGGCAAACUCCGUGCCAGCAGCCGCGGUAAUACGGAGGAUGCAAUCGUUAUCCGGAGUGAGUGGGUUAAAGGGGUGCUCAGGCGGAAUUUUAAUUCAGCGGAAAAACCGUGGGGCUAAACCCCAUCCAGCCUUUGAAACUGGGCAUCUAGAGUGUGCGAGAGGUAUGCGGAAUGCGUGGUGUAGCGGUGAAAUGCAUAGAUAUCAGGCAGAACCUCGAUUGCGAAGGCAACAUACCGGUGCACAACUGACGCUCAGGCACGAAAGCGUGGGUAUCGAACAGGAUUAGAUACCCUUGUAGUC